rnacentral:rRNA from 1 species
AACGUAGGAGCCUAGCGUUAUCCGAAUUUACUGGGCGUAAAGCGCGUGCAGGCGGCUUGGUAAGUUGGCUGUGAAAUCUCCCGGCUCAACUGGGAGGGGACGGUCAAGACUGCCAGGCUCGAGGGCGGUAGAGGGAGGUGGAAUUCCCGGUGUAGUGGUGAAAUGCGUAGAGAUCGGGAGGAACACCUGUGGCGAAAGCGGCCUCCUGGGCCGUACCUGACGCUCAGACGCGAAAGCUAGGGGAGCGAACGGG